CCCGGGGCGGCAUCGGGCAAAGACGGAACAACUAUUUUGUUUACACAAGGCACCAAGGAGGAGCGAAGGAAAAAGAGAGGAAGAAAGGAGGCCAGGAGUGACAUUGGCGGAGCAACUAUAUGCUCCGCUGCCGCGCAUCAUAUCGGUGAGUCUAAUCAA